rnacentral:rRNA from 1 species
UCCUAAAGGGUUGUUCGAGACUAGAACGUUGAUAGGCAGGGUGUGUAAGCGUUGUGAGGCGUUGAGCUAACCUGUACUAAUUGCCCGUGAGGCUUAACCAU